AAAUCGGUCCUUCUCAGGACCAUCACACCCUCUCAUUGCCGCGUUGU
rfam:Trichomalopsis sarcophagae strain Alberta scaffold6241, whole genome shotgun sequence.